GAUGAACGCUGGCGGCGUGCCUAAUACAUGCAAGUCGAGCGAACGGACGAGAAGUUUGCUCCUCUGAUGUUAUCGCCGGACGGGUGAGUAACACGUGGAUAACCUACCUAUAAGACUGGGAUAACUUCGGGAAACCGGAUCUUAUACCGGAUAAUAUUUUGAACUUGAUGGUUCAAAAGUUAAAUUAGGUCUUUCUGACACUAAUAGAUGGACACGCGCUGCAUUAGCUAGUUGGUAAGGUAACUGCUUAGCAAGGCAACGAUGCAUAGCCGACCUGAGAGGGUGGACCGACAGACGGGAACUGAGACACAGUCCAGACUCCUACGGGAGGCAACAGUAGGGACUCUUCCGCAAUGGGCGAAAGCCUGACGGAGCAACGCCGCGGGAGUGAUGAAGGUCUACGGAUCGUAAAACUCUGUUAUUAGUGAAGAACAUAUGUGUAAGUAACUGUGCUCAUCUUGACGGUACCGAAUCAGAAAGCCACGGCUAACUACGUG
rnacentral:rRNA from 1 species